UGGGCCGGGGGCGUUGUCCGCCCGGGUCACCGCUCUGUGGCCUGCCAGGCGCGCGGGUGUCCAGGCACCGCCCGCCCACGCGCGCCCCCGAGGCUGCGGUGCAGCAGCGCCCACUGCCGGGUUUCCGCUGUCUCCCGUGGACCUUUCUCCCCCCCGGGUGUGUUUCCACUGCUGGAGGUGUUCCUCCCCACCAAGAAUGAAACAUGACUGAAGACUCGCAGAGAAACUUUCGUUCAGUGUAUUAUGAGAAAAUGGGGUUUCGUGGAGUGGAAGAAAAGAAGUCACUUGAGAUCCUCCUGAAAGAUGACCCCUUGGAUAUUGAGAAGCUUUGUACUUUCAGCCAGCGCUUCCCUCUCCCGUCCAUGUACCGCGCACUGGUAUGGAAGGUGCUUCUAGGUAUGAGAC